GAAGGCAGCUAGCUCUCUGCAACUCUCACAUGGUCGCAACUCUCACAUGAAGCUAAGCAGGGCUGCGCCCGGUCAGUACCUAGAUGGGAGACCACAUGGGAAAGCUAGGUUGCUGCCGGAA
ensembl:rRNA 5S_rRNA 5S ribosomal RNA